UGUGGGGGUGGAGGUGGGAGUAAUUCCAAGCAAGUUUACAUCCCAUUCCCCAGUUCUGGCCCCUUCAAGAUCCAGUUCAGCCCUGUGGUUCUUGUUUCCUGCUUUGGGGACAGGUGGACACACAGAGGUGUUGAGGUGUUGACAACUGAGGGCCAGUUUCUUUCUGGGAUUUGCCAAAAAACUGUGGGUUGUUUUUUUUGUUUUUGUGGGAGGCGGGGGGCGGGGCGGGGGGUUAAUUCCUGGAAGCAGCACUCCAGGGGACUGACUCAUUUCCUUCCAUGCCAGGGUGGCUCUCCCUGCUAUUCUCAGGGCCCUCCGCUUUCCCACAUGAAAGUGCAGCUGUUGAGAGCUGAAGUAUACAAUGGAGCAGGCGCAUAACAAUGAUAGGGCAAGGGGAGACAGUUGUCUGGGGGCCCCACUGCCUGGAGGGGCACCCCAGAGGCACCUCAUGUGACUCCCCAUUGCCCCCUGCCCAGCCCCAUAGCCUCUCAGCCACUUGCCCUCUUCACCGUCUCUCCUGCUUGUUCUGCUGGCCGCAAUCGAAGCAGCAGCCAAGCUGCCAAGAGCUCCUUUUCUCCCGCCUCUCAGCUGAUCGGCAGGUGGGCGGGGGAGGCCUCCGUGUAGGCCGCAGUGAAGCCUGAACUCGAGUAGGGCCCAAGCCAGCCAGGAAGGAGGAGGCAGCCAGAGUGUUCUCUGCAGCAGAAGACCCCUUGCUGCCCUGCUUAACCCAGACCAGCAUUUGCCAGCAAUGUCGGCUGCAACAAAAACAUACUUUUGAACAUAGCAUGUCAUAGAUUUUCUCCAACAGAGUGAGCACGACUUCACAUUGCAUCUGACAAGAUACCAACCAGCAGUUCCAGUGCUGUCUGAGUUUUCUGUGUUGCCCCAUGCUUCAGAGUGCCCCUGCGCAUGUGCCGAAAGCAGCUGCCCAUGAAGACAACCACAUUUUUUUAAACGCAUUCUACAGAAAACUUUACAUUCUACGAUCUCCUGAUCCAGCAACUGGCUUGGAGAGAGAAAUUUUGGUGAGACCAGUCAGUUUCUGGCCAUUGUCCCAGAAAAAAAAAUAUUGUUUUUAAAAGUAUUUUAAUUGGUUUUAAAUUGCUUUGAAUUGUUUUUAUAUUGUUUUGAGGAUUGUGUGUUUUAAAUGGUGUGUUUUUGUGAGUGUGUCUUUUUAAACUUGUUGUACAUCG